rnacentral:rRNA from 1 species
GACGAACGCUGGCGGCGUGCUUAACACAUGCAAGUCGUACGGUAAGGCCCUUUCGGGGGUACACGAGUGGCGAACGGGUGAGUAACACGUGAGUAACCUGCCCACAACUUUGGGAUAACGCUAGGAAACUGGUGCUAAUACUGGAUAUGUGCUCCUGCUGCAUGGUGGGGGUUGGAAAGCUCCGGCGGUUGUGGAUGGACUCGCGGCCUAUCAGCUUGUUGGUGGGGUAGUGGCCUACCAAGGCGGCGACGGGUAGCCGGCCUGAGAGGGUGACCGGCCACAUUGGGACUGAGAUACGGCCCAGACUCCUACGGGAGGCAGCAGUGGGGAAGAUUGCACAAUGGGCGCAAGCCGGAUGCAGCAACGCCGCGGGCGGGAUGACGGCCUUCGGGUUGUAAACCGCUUUCAGCAGGGACGAAGCUUUUUGUGACGGUACCUGCAGAAGAAGCACCGGCUAACUACGUG